AGGGGAAGUGGAAAGAGAACGAAAUUUCAUAUCGAAUCGUCCGAGAAAAAUGGUAAAUUUCUUUAAGAUCGUUCGAUAUAAAAUAUUGCUCGAGCAUGGUCGUACGAUCGAAGAUGAAAGACGACGUAUGUACCUAAGUACCUACAUACAUCUGUAUAUAUUAUAUAUGUUAUUCGGAAUCGAUACUGAUUUCGGUUGAAAAACUUUGAAUCUUCGUAGGUUUGAUCGGAAGAAGACGAGUUAGUCGUUGUCGUUCGGCACAGAAGAAUAUGCGUUCUCUUCGCGUACUCGAAAAACGAUCGUAAUAUUCCGUUCGCGGAUGGUUUCUAUGCAAAUAUAAGAGCGAACGAGAACGUCGUAAGUAUUCGAGCAAGAAUAAAUCGGUGUAUCAUCUUUUAUACGCGAGCUUUGAAAACAGCUGGUUUACGAGUUACGACGUAUCGACUCGCCGGUGAUAUUGAGAACGCUUAGCUUGAGAUUCACAAGAGACGUGCGCGUCGUCAAAAUUUGCAAAAUGAAUAUCUAUCUAAAGAGCCUAUCGAAAGAAAUAGAUACUCUCGAGAUAUAUCGAGAGAUAUUAUUUUUUUCAUGGUCGAGCGAAGAUGAAAGAAUGCUUGCACAUACGAGAAGCGUGAACAUUUAUGUAAGUAGGAGAUAUAUAUGUAUAUACGCACGAUUGAAAAAGAGAAAGAGGCGUAGAUAGAAAGAGUUAACGAUGGACGUCGUUAAGAGUUUCGAGAAGAACGUCCUGUCUCUGUGCCUCGCGUAUCUAUAAAGUUAAUGCGUACAUAGCUAUGUCCUCACGCUAUUAUACGCGUUAGAUUCGCCCUUCCCUUUCUCUCUCCUCGUAGGUUAUUUAUGUUUUUUUGAGCCGUAUUGUUAAUGUUAUCGAAACGAUCCUUACGAUGUUUACAAAGAGUACAAUGUAUUUCUUUAGACUAACUUUAUUUAAACCACGUCUCUCGCGAUAUUAUUUUCUAUUUGUCUUAGCGUUUAAAACUUCAAAGCGCUUAUAACUUUUUAUUACCUUUUUUUAUGGACGGAAUAAAUAUGCGAGGAGAUAUUUUUGAGAAUAAUAAUCCUUCGAACAAGAUCACAAAAGCUUUAUGUAAAAAUAAUUAUACUUACAUAUAAGUACCAAUAUCUAUUCCAAUAAAUUUUAUGGUGCAUCAAUAUCACGAUGUAUGUCCCUCGAUUAUUAUCCAUGGGAUAUAGCAAUGAUAUCGUUUAAUUUUGAUUAGGCGUGCCGCACAGAGAUAAUGCACGUGAAUGAGGCCACGCGAUCGCCCGUAAACUUGGCCAUACAUGAAAGCGUGAUCGAACUCGAUUAUCAUCUUAAUGACGACGCUCAUAUUGAAUCGUUCACGAGCGAACGCUCGUCGAGUAAGCUCCGCUCGUCAACCGAGACGACGACGUAAAGUAUUCAGCAGGCUGCUACGUGAAAGUAUUUCAUAUUUAAUCGUCGUCACUGUCUACCAACGUCGACAUGCGAAUUCACCACUUCCAAAUUUAUUCUCUCUUCGUCGAAUUAGAAAUUAUCGCCGACAGAAAAGUAGACUUUCGCGUGAACGUCGUCUAUAGGAAUGAAUUUUACAAUGUACGUAGAAGAACAACAGAACAACGAAAAUAAAUCAUAUUGAUCGAUGUAAACAAUACGAAACGUAUAGUAUGUAUAUAGAAACGUAUAAUGUGUUUAUUGAUAUCGGUGAUGAUAUCAUUACUUCCUGGAAGGACAGAUACAGAAAGCUUAUAUUUUGUAUACAUACGUGUACCUCUCUAGUUUCAAUCUACAUGACCUCUGUUGUAAUAGCUACCCAUUAGUCAUCCAUCGACCGUGGUCUUUUAAACAUCGUCGUACCGAUCUGUGCCGUAUUUUAAUCUACCUUAUAGAUAUUACUCGCAUAUUUAUCACCGCAAAUUUAACUCCGUCUACAAUAAUUUGUAAUAUUUAUUCUUUCGUAAACUAAUCAUUUUCUUUAGCGUUAUUUCAACACAUUUACUGGAAAAAUUCGCCGUUUAGUAACACCGAGCGUCAUUAACAACAGGAUCUUUGGAGAAUCAUCGAAGCAUAUUCGACGACUUCGCUUUAUUUACGAAUAAUUAAUUUUCUAUUAAUUAAUAAUUUUCUCUAGCAUCAUUUCAACAGCUUUCCGAAGAAACCCAUCGUUCAAUAUUCGUCAAGUAUUAUCUUCGAGAGAUCAUCGGCGCAUUCGAUCACUUUAUUAGUUAUUAAGUUUAUUUUAAUUAAUAAUUCUCUGUAGCAUUAUUUGAAAAUAUCGUUGAGUAUCAUCAACAACGAAAUCUUCGGGAGAUCAUCGGAGCAACGUUUUUCAUCGGCUACAGGAGUAACGGCGAUCUCCCUUUCUCUAAGCGUUUCUUUCGCGGUCCAGAGGCCACGAUAGUGCGAGUUGCGAUCGACGAUAACAUAACGCGUCGGUUCGAAUCCAUUUCGAUAUCUCUCUUAGUUUCGGUGUUCUUGUGGGAAACGAAGAGCAAGUUUGGUCUCUAUCGGUACGAACGAUCGUUUAGAUAUAAUUACUAACAAUCCUGAAGGGCUCAUGGUAUAAGCCCUUCUUCGUGAUUGGCCAUUUCCAUGGAUCUUGGUGAUCGUUAACGAGCCUACAAAAGGAGAGAAGAAGGCAGAAGAGAAGAAGAGGAUCGUAAAGGAAGAAACGGAAUUGCUAGGAAGGAACGAAGGAUUGCGAGCGUUCGUUCUGCCAUUCUAUAAAUCCUCCAUACACGGGCUUUCCUCUGGUAGCAAGUAGGAGCCGUCGACGGUGGUCAUUGAAGGGACCAAGAGGAGGCGGUUAACUAAAAAUCUUCUGGUGGCGCGAGCGCGCGCGCACAUACAACGGCCUCGCGCGUAGCAGCCUGUAAUUUUCCUCGACUGGGGUGAGGAGAAAACGAGAAGGAGAGAGACGAGAAGAAGAAGGAGGCUGUCGUCGAAAGGCUCGUCGAGUCGGUUGGAAGAUGCGAGCGACGAAAAGGUGGAGAAAGAGGAGGAGGAGGAGGAGGAGGAGGAGGGGUGAAACGGCAGCAAAAGAGAAUGCGAAUUUCAGAUACAAAAUCGAUCUCGAGUAAACUGAUUGCUUAAUUAUACAAGGGGAAUAAGAAAUGUAAUAAGAGAACGAAAUCGUAAUAGAGGAAUAUGGAUGGACGACGAUACAUUUUCAUGGACAUCUUAAGGAAAUGAUAAAGGGAAGACGUCGAGGGAUUUUAAAAAGCUCUUUCAACGUCAACUCGCCGUACUCCACUACUGUCAACCGGUGUCGUUCUUCGUUCCUUUGAUCGACGUCGUCGAAUUGUUCUUCCCCGUUUUGCAAAAGAAUCCUGAGAUGCGUUGUAGCUCCUCGAAAAAGGGCUUCAACCGUUAACAGGCGUUCGCACCCAAGAAAGAUCAAUUAGGGGAUAUUUCGAUAAUGGCGUUUUGUGUGUCGCCGUUACCACCACAAAAUUGUAUAGACCGAAGGAUGCAGAAAUCAGACAGGAAAUAAGAAAGCGUAUAGAUAUAUAUAUGUUGAAGCUUUGUGAAAGUCGACUAGAUGGAGAGAAACGGAGAAGAGAAUUAUAGGAGGGUUGUUCGGUAAUACUGUUGACGGUAUACCGACACCGGUGGUCUCUAAGCUUCGGUUCGACGUAGGUAGAAUAGGAGAGAGCGGGAGGGAAAUCGUAUGUACCGAGGGACAAUAGAGGAGCUACGGCCCUCUUAGAGGGAGGUUAAUUGGAUCCCAUCGAUUUCGAUAGUACAAUGAACGGAGAUCAAAUCCUCGUCGAUUCGAGGAGACGACGUAACGGCUUUCCUUCAUCUCUUCUAAUUCUCUUUCUCUCUCUCUCUCUCUCUCUCUCUCUCUCUC